rnacentral:lncRNA from 1 species
AUCUGAGGACCAGAAAGUCAACUAUGCAAUCAACUGAGGACUUUGAGAUUGGGGAGAUGAUUGAAAUACCUCAUUCAUGUUCAAAGAAAGUCGAUUUGUCAUUUCAAACAUCUAUCUUGAAGAUUUUGAAGUCAUUGCAAAAGUUUCCAAAAAUGGAAAAUGACCUGUAAUUCCAAGUUUCCAAAAAUGGCAAGUUUUUGGUCCAUAUUCAACUUGAUUUUCCAAUAUCAAAGAAGCUUAAAAUGG